AAUGCACGGAGGACAGCCUGUGGCAUGGCUCUGGACAUGGAUCCAGGGAUAUCUGGGCAUGAGAUUUCCAGUUCCCAGGACCUGCAGUAUGGUCCAGAAGUGGGACAUUUCUCCUUAGUCUUGCAGACUCUUUGCCCCAUGGGGAAGGACAUGGCCCAGACAGUACCCCUCUUGCCUCUCUGAGAAGGCUGCUGCUCAUGCGUUGACCAAAGAGCAGGGCUGCAGCUAGGCUGUCCAGGGAAAGCAUCAGUUUGAUUUGUUUUGAUCUUUGCUACUCAAAAGGAUCACAUGAGGCAGACGUCCCUCCUGACUGAACUGAUGGAUUGACUGACUCUGUAAACAUCACCAGAUGCCCCCAGCUUCCCAACGGUCACAUCUGCUACAUGACAUGUCCGCUCUCAAUGGUUGAGGGUUGAGUUGAAUGCUUAACAAGGACUCACUGCAUUUGUUCCCAA